rnacentral:rRNA from 1 species
UACGGGGGGGGCAAGCGUUGUUCGGAAUUACUGGGUGUAAAGGGCUCGUAGGUGGCCAACUAAGUCAGACGUGAAAUCCCUCAGCUUAACUGGGGAACUGCGUCUGAUACUGGAUGGCUUGAGUUUGGGAGAGGGAUGCGGAAUUCCAGGUGUAGCGGUGAAAUGCGUAGAUAUCUGGAGGAACACCGGUGGCGAAGGCGGCAUCCUGGACCAACACUGACACUGAGGAGCGAAAGCCAGGGGAGCAAACGAG